rnacentral:rRNA from 1 species
UCGCAAGGCUAAAACUCAAAGGAAUUGACGGGGGCUCACACAAGCGGUGGAGCAUGUGGCUUAAUUCGAAGCAACGCGAAGAACCUUAUCCAGGGUUUGACAUGUAUGGAUUAACUCAUUGAAAGAUGAGCCACACCUUCGGGUGGAACAUACACAGGUGCUGCAUGGCUGUCGUCAGCUCGUGCUGUGAAGUGUCGGGUUAAGUCCCUCAACGAGCGCAACCCUUGUCUUUAGUUGCUAACAGGUAAUGCUGAGGACUCUAGAGAGACUGCCGGUGUUAAACCGGAGGAAGGUGGGGAUGACGUCAAGUCCUCAUGGCCUUUAUGCCCUGGGCUGCACACGUGCUACAAUGGUAGGUACAAAACGAAGCAAGACCGCGAGGUGGAGCAAAUCGCUAAAACCUGCCCCAGUUCGGAUUGGAGGGUGCAAUUCGCCUCCAUGAAGUUGGAAUCGCUAGUAAUCGUGGAUCAGCUACGCCACGGUGAAUACGUUCCUGAGCCUUGUACACACCGCCCGUCAAGUCAUGGAAGCUGGCAGCGCCCGAAGUCGCCCCGAUUCAGGGGUGCCCACGGUGAGGCUGGUGACUGGGACU